UUUAUGUGAUGGGUUUAGAGAGGACUCAGAAGCGAGGAUGACAAUCACAGCUCCUUUAAUAACAAAUGGCAGGAUGACCACAGGCAAAGAUGAGCAGAGAGCUGGAGCAGAAUUACACUCGAAGUCAUCAGAGAUAUGCUUCUAGACUGGACUGGA